rnacentral:rRNA from 1 species
CAGUAGCCGCGGUAAUACGAAGGGUGCAAGCGUUAAUCGGAAUUACUGGGCGUAAAGCGUGCGUAGGCGGUGAGUUAAGUCUGCUGUGAAAUCCCCGGGCUCAACCUGGGAAUUGCAGUGGAUACUGGGUCACUAGAGUGUGGUAGAGGAUAGUGGAAUUUCCGGUGUAGCAGUGAAAUGCGUAGAGAUCGGAAGGAACAUCUGUGGCGAAGGCGACUAUCUGGGCCAACACUGACACUGAGGCACGAAAGCGUGGGGAGCAAACAGGAUUAGAUACCCGCGUAGUCCCUGUCUCUUAUAC